rnacentral:rRNA from 1 species
GGGCCCGCACAAGCGGUGGAGCAUGUGGUUUAAUUCGAUGCAACGCGAAGAACCUUACCAUCCCUUGACAUGUAGAGAAGUUUCCAGAGAUGGAUUCGUGCCUUCGGGAACUCUAACACAGGUGCUGCAUGGCUGUCGUCAGCUCGUGUCGUGAGAUGUUGGGUUAAGUCCCGCAACGAGCGCAACCCUUAUCAUUAGUUGCUAACAUUUAGUUGAGAACUCUAAUGAGACUGCCGGUGAUAAACCGGAGGAAGGCGGGGACGACGUCAAGUCAUCAUGGCCCUUAUGGGAUGGGCUACACACGUGCUACAAUGGGAAGUACAAAGAGUUGCUAACUUGCGAAAGUGUGCUAAUCUCAAAAAACUUCUCGUAGUCCGGAUUGGAGUCUGCAACUCGACUCCAUGAAGUCGGAAUCGCUAGUAAUCGUGAAUCAGAAUGUCACGGUGAAUACGUUCCCGGGCCUU